GUCUUACUGCUUAAUCUUAAUAUUUUGAACUUCUCGUGCAGAAUCAACAGUCACAAAUGCAUGAUUUACAGCGCCAGGCUCAGCAGAAGUUUCGGCCGAUUCCGAAAAUGUCCUCCACAAUAUCAUCACAGCCGCUUGUGCCACGAAUGCAAGUAUGCCUCCUGUGUGCUUUGCAAAUUUAUAUUCUGUGUUUAGGGAAGAUAGGGCUUGUUGAUUUCAUUAGUGCAUAUUGGAUUCAUCUGCAAUGCAGAGAUCUAGAAUUUACCCAAAAUCUCUCGUCAAUUGCUGAUUCUUUUCUGUACUAAAAUAGAAAGUUUAAUGUUGUUCCAAUUUAUCUUCCCCUUGUUAAAUCUACUAUACAGAUUGGAUUUGCUGAUAGCAUGCUUCCUCAGAGGAAUCUGCUUCUCCGGUUCUGAAUGAUCAGAAUAUGAACCUGCUCUUCUAUUUUUUUCGCCUUUCAGUCAUACUUGGUGGAUGAAUUUGCAGUUAUUUCCUGCCCCUUCUUUUCUUUCGCCUGACAUCUCCUCCUGAUAUGUCCUGUUUUUCUCCCUUGCCAGAAUGGGAGGUUGUCUUCUGCUUUUCUUAUAGGAUCCAUGCAGGGCGGUGACCGACGGUGUUCAUUUUGACACAACAAAAAAGCAAGUGCGCUCGUCGUAUGUUUACUAGAAUCUUAACAUACGAGGCUGAAGUUCAGUUGUGGCCUUUGCUUGCAGUCUAUAAUACGGGAGUAUCCAAUCCCGGUGGUGUAAUGCCCAUACAGCAGCAGCAGCAGCUUGGUUCUCAAGAGGCGUUUGGUAACAUGCAACCAAAUGCUCAGAACUUACAGUCAAGCAUGGCAGUCACAGUUUAUUUUUCCUGACAAAAUAUCCUGUAACAAGGUAUACACUGUUGAAAGUUUGUGACAAGGUUGGGAGUUUGGUAAUGCGCAACCAAAUGCUCGGAAUUUACAAGAUAUGUGCCAAUGAUUAUUUGCUAUGUUGGAAGUUUGCAUACCCACUGGUAA